rnacentral:lncRNA from 1 species
GUGUUCUCAGCUAGUCUUAAAAAAAGUUUUCUCUCAAAAUCCUGUUUUGCACAAAAUUAUAUUUGUGAUAUUGUCAUAGAUGUGACUAGUAUGUGUUAACAUGUGUCUAUGUAAAUAUCACUCACUGUGAACCUCAACUACAAACAUCUCAUCAUGAGCUUUAUCUUCAGUAUGUAUUCUAUUGUGUCCCUUACAGUCACAAUGCUGACUAAACUCAUUACCACAUACAUCACAGUCAUGUGGUUUAUCAUCUGUAUGUAUUCUCAUAUGCCUUUGUAAACUACCAGGAUAAAUAAACUCUUUACCACAUACAUCACAGUUAUGUGGUUUAUCAUAUAUGUGUAUUCUCAUGUGUCUUUGUAAACUACCAGGAUGACUAUACACUUUACCACAUACAUCACAGUCAUAAGUUUUAUAACCUGUAUGUGAUCUCAUGUGUUUUUUAAAUUCACUACCUUGUCUAACAAUUUUACCACAUAUAUCACAGUUAUGAGAUUGAUCACCUGUAUGUAUUCUCGUGUGUACCUGUAAAUUACGGAGAUGAACAAACUUUUUACCACAUACAUCACAGUCAUGUGGUUUAUCACCUGAAUGUAUUUUCAUGUGUCUCUUUAAACUAGCAACCUGGGUAAACCCCUUACCACAUUCACCACAGUCGUAAGGUUUUUCACCUGUAUGUGUUCUAAUGUGUAUCUGUAAAAGAUGCACCACACUAAACCGUUUACCACAUUUGUCACAUACAUGAGGUUUUUCGCCUGUAUGUGUUCUCAUGUGUCUCUGUAAAUUACUUAAAUGGUUGAAUUCUUUACCACAUACAUCACAGUCAAGAGGUUUAGCUGUAUGUGUUCUCAUGUGGAAUUGUAAAUUAAUAGGCCUACUAAACCCUUUACCACAUACAUCACAGUAAUGAGGUUUAUCGGCUAUAUGUGUUCUCCUGUGCUUCUGAAAAUUACUAGAAUGACUAAACUGUUUACCACAUAAUUCACAAGUGUGAGGUUUUUCUCCAGUAUGUACACUCAUAUGCGUCCUUAGGUUACAUCUUUUAGAAAAUUCUUUUGCACACACAUCACAUUUGUGUGGUUUUUCACCAGUUUCAUGAGUAUGUGUUCUCGAGUGUCUCAUUAAGUCACUACCAUAACUUUCACCAGUAUCAUGAGUAUGUGUUAUCGAGUGUCUCGUUAAGUCACUACCGUAAUUUUCAUCAGUAUCAUGAGUAUGUGUUAUCGAGUGUCUCAUUAAGUCACUACCAUAACUUUCACCAGUAUCAUGAGUAUGUGUUAUCGAGUGUCUCGUUAAGUCACUGCCAUAACUUUCACCAGUAUAAUGAGUAUGUGUUAUCGAGUGUCUGGUUAAGUCACUACCAUAACGUUCACCAAUAUCAUGAGUAUGUGUUAUCGAGUGUCUGGUUAAGUCACUACCAUAACUUUCACCAGUAUCAUGAGUAUGUGUUAUUAAGUGACUCAUUAAGUCACUGCCAUAACUUUCACCAGUAUCAUGAGUAUGUGUUAUCGAGUGUCUCGUUAAGUCACUGCCAUAACUUUCACCAGUAUCAUGAGUAUGUGUUAUCGAGUGUCUCGUUAAGUCACUACCACAAAUUAAUUCUCUAUUAUAAGCAUCCCAUUCAUGAAGUUUAUAACCAGUAUCUGUGCUGACGUGGCUGUGUAGAG